rnacentral:lncRNA from 1 species
UAGAUACGAAGUUUGCAAUUCAUUCGCCACAAACUUAGAAAUACAAGAAAAAAAUCCAAAAAGGCACGAGUAAAUAUCUUAGGCAAAAUACAAUAUGUUUCCAAAUAAAUAAAUAGUCUUGGAGGUCUUUUAUUAUCUUUCCAUCCAUCACCGCCUUACAUGGAUUCACCACGAAGUGAUCGAUGAUGGGAGGAAGAAUAGCGGUUUUCUCAAGAGCAACCUCGAAACCUACUCCAUAGGAGCAACCAAUCCCGUUCUUCAAAUUUUCUGUCGUGUUGUUCUAGUAAUCCUUAGACUUCAGCUCCCCUUCCAGUUGGUGAAUCUAAAGGGCAAGGUUAGUUUUCUCCUAGGCCCAUCGCGUCGCUCGGAACAAAGUCAAUCCACCUCCAAAGCCUCGACCUGAAGUCG